UGAGUUGUGGCUCAGUGGUAGAGCACUUGCCUGGCAUGUGUGAGGCACUGGGUUCAAUCCUCAGCACCACAU
rnacentral:tRNA from 1 species